rnacentral:rRNA from 1 species
AUGCAAGAUGGCCAUCCUUUAGCAUAUGUUAGCAAGGCUUUGGGGCCCAGGAAUCAGGCUCUUUGUGUUUAUGAAAAAGAGUAUUUAGCUAUUCUUUUAGCUGUGGAUCAUUGGAGACAGUAUUUGCAGCUGUCUGGAUUUAUUAUUCAGACAGACCAGAGGAGUCUCGCUAGUUUGUCUGACCAGCAUUUGCACACAGUCUGGCAGCAAAAAGGUUUAACUAAGUUACUUGGCCUUAGUUACACCAUUUGUUACAAGAAAGGAGUUGAAAAUCGAGCCGCUGAUGCUUUAUCUCGGAGACCUCACAGUGAACAGGAAGUGCUCCCUGAACUUCAUCAUAUUUCCUCUGCUCAACCAUUGUGGUUGGAUGACAUUAUUCAGAGUUACGUUAAUGAUCCCUUUUCUGCUGCACUGUUACAACGAUUGGCACUUCAUCCUCAAUCUGAUAAGAAGUUUUCCUUGAGGGCUAGAAUUCUGCGCAUUGAUCAGUGCUUUCCAUGA